rnacentral:rRNA from 1 species
GACGAACGCUGGCGGCGUGCUUAACACAUGCAAGUCGAACGGAAAGGCCCUGCUCUUGUGGGGUGCUCGAGUGGCGAACGGGUGAGUAACACGUGAGUAACCUGCCCUUGACUUUGGGAUAACUUCUGGAAACUGGGGCUAAUAUCGGAUAGGAGCUCCUGCUGCACGGUGGGGGUUGGAAAGUUUCGGCGGUUGGGGAUGGACUCGCGGCUUAUCAGCUUGUUGGUGGGGUAGUGGCUUACCAAGGCUUUGACGGGUAGCCGGCCUGAGAGGGUGACCGGCCACAUUGGGACUGAGAUACGGCCCAGACUCCUACGGGAGGCAGCAGUGGGGAAUAUUGCACAAUGGGCGGAAGCCUGAUGCAGCAACGCCGCGUGCGGGAUGACGGCCUUCGGGUUGUAAACCGCUUUCGCCUGUGACGAAGCGUGAGUGACGGUAAUGGGUAAAGAAGCACCGGCUAACUACGUG